CUGCCACUGUUUAGUGUUAUUUGCCUCAUGCAAGUGCCUUUAUUUGUCAUUUAUGUUAUAGUAGAUAGAGGACGCUACCUCAUCAUAUAUGUUUUUUUCUUGUGUUCUAUUGCUGCUGGUCUCUGAGUUACCACACUUUUUGUUGUAUGCCUACAAUGAACAAUGAAAUAUCUUAUGACUUGCAAUACUAUCACUGACACUGUCUCCUUCCCAUUUCCUAACAUAUCUGAAUUUAUUGCACCUGUUUCCCAGGCCAGUACCUCUGCCUGACUGACCCCCUUCCUAAAAGAUCUGUUGGAACCCAACUAUCCAAGGACACUAAGACUCUCGUCAGAAGCAGAGACUCUCUCAGCAUCCCACUUAAAUGAGAAUGCCAACCGGCCACAGUCAACAAGUGCUCUGGGAGAUCCUGCCUUUAAACUGGCCUUCCCUAAAGCAAAGAAAGGGGGAUACAGCCUCAAAUGAGGGAAAAUUGAGCCGACAUUCUGCUAUGUGUUGUCCCUGACCCAGCACCUUUUACUGAAGAGCUGCAGAAGAUCACCAUUCCAGAGGAUCUUAGCGCUGAGCCAGUCAGAGCUCAGGUUGUUGCAACUGUUAUUAUCAGACUAUUUCUACUACAGUUCAUAUCACUACUGAACAGUAGGUUCUGUCCCAGGUUUCUGCCUGUUAAAAGGAAGUUUUUCCUCGCCACUGUCACACCAAAUGCUUCCUUUUGGGGGAAUUGUUGGGUCUCUUUAAAUAAAAUUGAAUUGAACAUUUGUAAUCUUCUGUUGCCAAUUGUUUCUCUGCUGUGGCCCUCACACGUCACCUGUAGUAACACUAAACAUCAACUGAAGCAUGAAACAGGAAAAGCACGUCAAUUGGUU